AGCGAACGCUGGCGGCAGGCCUAACACAUGCAAGUCGAACGAAGUCUUCGGACUUAGUGGCGGACGGGUGAGUAACACGUGGGAACGUGCCUUUAGGUUCGGAAUGACUCAGGGAAACUUGUGCUAAUACCGAAUGUGCCCUUCGGGGGAAAGAUUUAUCGCCUUUAGAGCGGCCCGCGUCUGAUUAGCUAGUUGGUGAGGUAAAGGCUCACCAAGGCUACGAUCAGUAGCUGGUCUGAGAGGAUGACCAGCCACAUUGGGACUGAGACACGGCCCAAACUCCUACGGGAGGCAGCAGUGGGGAAUCUUGCGUAAUGGGCGAAAGCCUGACGCAGCCAUGCCGCGUGGAUGAUGAAGGUCUUAGGAUUGUAAAAUCCUUUCACCGGUGAAGAUAAUGACUGUAGCCGGAGAAGAAGCCCCGGCUAACUUCGUGCCAGCCGCCGCAGUAACAC
rnacentral:rRNA from 1 species